UACGGAGGGGGCUAGCGUUGUUCGGAAUUACUGGGCGUAAAGCGCGCGUAGGCGGACCUGCAAGUCGGGGGUGAAAGCCCGAGGCUCAACCUCAGGCCUGCAGUCGAUACGGGCGGACUUGAGUACUGCAGGGGAGACUGGAAUUCCUGGUGUAGCGGUGAAAUGCGCAGAUAUCAGGAGGAACACCGGUGGCGAAGGCGGGUCUCUGGGCAGUAACUGACGCUGGAGGAGCGAAAGCGUGGGGAGCGAACAGGA
rnacentral:rRNA from 1 species